rnacentral:rRNA from 1 species
UACAGAGGGGGCAAGCGUUGUUCGGAAUUACUGGGCGUAAAGGGCGCGUAGGCGGCAUGCCAAGCGUGUGGUGAAAGCCCGGGGCUCAACCCCGGGUCGGCCGUGCGGACUGGCGUGCUCGAGCACUGUAGGGGCGGGUGGAAUUCCGGGUGUAGCGGUGGAAUGCGUAGAGAUCCGGAAGAACACCAGUGGCGAAGGCGAGUCUCUGGACGACUCCUGACACUGAGGCACGAAAGCUAGGGGAGCAAACAGG